rnacentral:rRNA from 1 species
UACGUAGGUGGCAAGCGUUGUCCGGAAUUAUUGGGCGUAAAGCGUGCGCAGGCGGUUCUCCAAGUCCGUUGUGAAAGCCCCGGGCUCAACCUGGGAAUGGCAGUGGAAACUAGGGGACUGGAAUCUGGCAGAGGGGGGUGGAAUGCCGCGUGUAGCAGUGAAAUGCGUAGAGAUGCGGCGGAACACCGAUGGCGAAGGCAGCCCCCUGGGCUGAGAUUGACGCUCAGGCACGAAAGCGUGGGGAGCAAACAGG